GACGAACGCUGGCGGCGUGCUUAACACAUGCAAGUCGAACGAGACGAUUUAGAAGCUUGCUUUUAUUGAGUCGAGUGGCAAACGGGUGAGUAACGCGUAGACAACCUGCCGCAAAGAUGGGGGACAACAGUCCGAAAGGACUGCUAAUACCGAAUGUUGUAUCUCCUCCGCAUGGAAGAGAUAUUAAAGAUGGGCCUCUACUUGUAAGCUAUCGCUUUGCGAUGGGUCUGCGUCUGAUUAGCUAGUUGGUGGGGCAACGGCCUACCAAGGCGACGAUCAGUAGCCGGUCUGAGAGGAUGAACGGCCACAUUGGAACUGAGACACGGUCCAGACUCCUACGGGAGCAGCAGUGGGAAUCUUCCGCAAUGGACGAAAGUCUGACGGAGCAACG
rnacentral:rRNA from 1 species